rnacentral:rRNA from 1 species
UACGUAGGGGCCAAGCGUUGUCCGGAUUUAUUGGGCGUAAAGAGCUCGUAGGCGGUUCGACAAGUCGGGUGUGAAAACUCCGGGCUCAACCCGGAGACGCCACCCGAUACUGUCGUGACUGGAGUCCGGUAGGGGAGUGGGGAAUUCCUGGUGUAGCGGUGAAAUGCGCAGAUAUCAGGAAGAACACCCGUGGCGAAGGCGGUUCUCUGGGACGGUACUGACGCUGAGACGCGAAAGCGUGGGGAGCGAACAGG